GUCGAACCGUGCGAACGUUGUUCGGAAUCACUGGGCUUAAAGGGCGCGUAGGCGGCGUGCGAGGUCGGGGGUGAAAUCCCACAGCUUAACUGUGGAAGAGCCUUCGAUACCGGCGCGCUGGAGGAAGGUAGGGGUGCGCGGAACUUCUGGUGGAGCGGUGAAAUGCGUUGAUAUCAGAAGGAACGCCGGCGGCGAAAGCGGCGCACUGGACCUUUUCUGACGCUGAGGCGCGAAAGCCAGGGGAGCAAACGGG
rnacentral:rRNA from 1 species